rnacentral:rRNA from 1 species
GCACCCGCGGUAAUUCCAGCUCCAAUAGCGUAUAUUAAAGUUGUUGCGGUUAAAAAGCUCGUAGUUGGAUUUCUGCCGAGGACGACCGGUCCGCCCUCUGGGUGCGUAUCUGGCUCGGCCUGGGCAUCUUCUUGGAGAACGUAUCUGCACUUGACUGUGUGGUGCGGUAUCCAGGACUUUUACUUUGAGGAAAUUAGAGUGUUUCAAGCAGGCACACGCCUUGAAUACAUUAGCAUGGAAUAAUAAGAUAGGACCUCGGUUCUAUUUUGUUGGUUUCUAGAGCUGAGGUAAUGAUUAAUAGGGAUAGUUGGGGGCAUUCGUAUUUAACUGUCAGAGGUGAAAUUCUUAGAUUUGUUAAAGACGGACUACUGCGAAAGCAUUUGCCAAGGAUGUUUUCAUCAAUCAAGAACGAAAGU